UCAAGGUGUUAACUCAUAAUAUGUUCACAAAUUUUCAGAAGUCUUGAAAUCCAAAGGUUCUUGAAUUCCGUUGUGUCUGGAUUAAAUUCACUGGCGCUUGGAUUAUUUCGGCUGGCGUUUGGAUUAAAUUGAAUGGCGUUUGGAUUAAAUUGAGUGGCGCUCGGAUUAAAAUCACUGGCACUUGGAUUAAAUUGACUGGCGCUUAGAUUAAAUUGGCUGGCGCUCGGAUUAAAUUGACUGGCGCUUGGAUUAAAUUGAGCGGGAAAACCUGUAGAGCGACGCUGUCACACAUGUUGUGGGAGUGUCGGGUUACAUCAGCUACAAUGGCAGUAGCUCCGGAGGCUCUUGCGUCGAAGUGGGCCGCCGCUCUGCGCAGCUCCAACCUCAAGACACAAGAGUGGGCUGUCCAGCAAGCCCGAGAGGCGGCGACGAGGCAAGGCCUCGAAGUCCCCUCAUGGGAGACCUGAGCCCGGGUCGACAAAUUUGCCGGAUUCAAAAUAAAGUUGUUUCCAUCCAUCCAUCAUGAAGAAGAGGACGAAUUUUCCAGUCGCGUGUUAUUAAAACGCAGAGUACAAAGUCCUGCGCAGCCGACAACCAAAUUCAUUCGGGAUGCUACAACUGCUCGCCAAAUCGUCAGUUUGGCACAGCUACCGACCUCGUGGUUCAAGACGAGAUCCUUUGCUGCUUGCAGUCGCAUCAGCUUCGCCACCACUUCAACCAACUCGACCCGAGCUUUACCGUCAAGAAAGCAAUGGAGAUUGCUCAGGAAGAGGAAUUCACCGACAAAUUAAAGCAGCAGCUCGGCGUUCUACAAGUAGACGCCAUCCAAUGUUCUCAUCGCAGCGGUUCGCGGCGUUUGCAGCAUCAUACGGCGUCGACUAUGUCACCAGUAGUCCGCACUACGCUCAAACUGAGAGGCAGAGAGAAUGGUUCAGAGAAUCAAGGACGCAUCCCACAAAACAAAGGAUCCUAAUCUGACCCAGCUCAGUUAACGGUAUACACCAGGAGUAAACGGCGUUCUGAUAAGCGUUGUGAUCUCCAUUGCCAUAGAGUUCACUAGCGACAUUAGGAACAUAGCUGAUGACGGCCGUUGACGCCAUCAUAGACCAGCUUUUUUUUUUUUUUGCGACCGCUGUAACUAUAAGGAAUUUUUUUAGACAUUCCAUAGGCAUCUCACAUAAAAUGCUCCUCAUUCUCUCAAAAUUUCAACUUUGUCACACAAUGAGCUUUUUCAGGACAUUGGGAAAACUUGCGCAGUUCCUAAUUCACUCUUGUAUAAGCAAUAUUAAACAGGGGACGUAGCGGGAGCAGGCUUGUGUUGAAUAGAGAGAGAGAUUGAAAAAAAGGUGACUUCACGUUCCGCUUGCGCGCUCCAUGCAGCGCGCACGCCUGCAUAAUUUAGCUGAGCGGUUCACAGCAGUUUGUGCUACCGCGGACUCUCUCUUCUUUUUUUCUUUUAAGCCCGAAAGGUCGUUCAGGAUCCCAUUAACUGUUUUACACUGACAGGAAAAUGUGCUAACUCGUGCUCCGCGCUCCCGAUUUCUUUCUAGGAAAAGAUGUUGGCAACACUUGUGAAUAGAAGCUCUUGUAUUUAAAAAGUUCUUGUGAUUUGCAGUCAUGGGCAGCGGCGUCCUCCGGCUGCAACUGAGCCGUUGGGAAGACGACGGCCAAGGACACCAUCUCCAGCCCUUCGGAACAGAAGUGGCCGUCGUCUACCGUGAGAUCGAACACACGAUGGCUCUCAAGAUUGUUGCCUUAAUUCUCAAUUUUGCAUUUUAGCAAUAAAUUUGACAUCUGCAUGAAUUGUUUCCAUCAUUGGAUGAUAUUUCAGGUGAGACCUAUGCUGCGCAUAAACAGAAACGCUGCACGAGUAUAAACGUCGCAUAUACGAUAAAUGCGUCGCUACAAAAGCUUAUGCUGAGGGUAGUACUGCAUAUUGCAGCAAGCAGUGGGCUUAGCCUUAGCUUUUGCUAUUUCAUUAUAUUACUUACUAUGCUCACGUAUGUUAGAUAUUGCUAUGAUGGGCAUUUACUUAUGACAUAUUGUAGUAAGACACCACAAUGCUAAAAGAAAUCUUCUUUCUACAGGUGGGGAUCUACUUCCAGGAGCCCAACACAAUUUGGGCUCGAGUAAAUCGCACGAACGCACUUAACGACAUGACGAACAGAAUCGAGUUGAUCACCGGGGACACCCGAACAUCAUGUGCCGAGAGUGCGCGCAAGAAAUAUCGACGAGUGCAACUUGUCGUUGAGCAUAGACAACCUCCAACAAGCAGCGAAUGCCUUUCCGGCUGAACCUACAUGUGGACACCACACGCAUCUUGUAAAUACUGCAGGACGUGGAGGACGGUCAGCCUCUCCCCGCAUCUACCGCAGGUUGGAGGCUCGUUUCCAACAAGCACCAGAAGAAAAAAGGAACUGUUCAACAAGACGUCCUCGUGCAUCUAUACGAGGGUCGCCCCACAGGUAGUUAUGUGCAUUGAAAUCGCCAAGAACAGCAUAGGGUUCUGGCAAUUCAUCAAUAAGGGACUGAAAUUCAUGUUUGCUUAGUUUAUAAUGUGGGGGUAUAUAAAGUGAGCAAAUAGUGAUAAGCUUGUUUAGCAGAAUAACUCGAACCGCCACUGCCUCAAGGGCCGUUUGUAGCUGCAAACGUUGACAGGCUAUGCUUUUUUGAAUUACAAUGGCGACACCGCCCGAUGAUGCGAUAGCAUCGUCGCGAUCUUUGCGAUAAGUGACGUGCUGUCGAAGAAAAUUUGUGUGUUUUGGUUUUAAGUGUGUUUCCUGUAAACACAGCACUUUUGGAUUGUGUUUGUGGAUGAGUUCUUGUACAUCGUCAAGGUUUCUAAGGAGACCUCUGACGUUCCAUUGUAUGAUUUGUGUAUCCAUAUUUAGUGUAAAUUAGUGCUGUGUGUACGGAAACGGAAGUGAUGCAUUAGAUUACAGAGCUCUUUCGAGGCCCUGUAACCGGGGUUUUGCCUUUUUUGAAGCGUUCGAGGGAACCUCGCCGCUCCUUAGGCGCUUGGCGCGCCGUGGGGGUAGGUGUUGUGUCCAUUGCCUCUUGUGAGGCGCCGGACACGCGCUCUUGCGAGCGAGAAGUUUUUCGGGAGAGUCUCACCUCGGAAGGCAAAACCCCUGCGCCCACCUGCCCGGAGGUCGAUGGGGCUCCCUGUGGAAUUUGGCUGCGCCGGCUGUUGCCAGCGCUGGGAGGAGCCGGGGAGGUCGAGGCAGCCUCGGCUGCGCCUACCUUCGGGGCCACUAUCGGUACUGCGGCAUCGCUGCGUGUAGCGCAGGUUGCCGCCGAUAACUCUUGUGGGGCCGGCAACCCAAGGGUAGCCUGGCCGGUUUGCUGGCUGGAUGGAGUAGGCUUACCUACUUCCACCCUAGGGGCAGAAGCCAAAGGUGCCUGCUCGCUGCACGCGGGCAUGGCACUUGGCAUUGGCCGCUGCGACGCCGCCCCCCGACGCGCCGCAUCAGCGUAAGGUGUGUUGUGGAAAGGAGAGCACCUUUUACGGGCUUCCUUAAACGAAAUAUUUUCCUUGACUUUAAGGGUGAUUAUAUCUUUUUCUUUCUUCCAGUUUGGACAGGAGCGUGAGUAAGCGGGAUGGUCACCACUGCAGUUCACACAGUGAGGUGUGCCACUGCAGUUGUCGGAGGGGUGGCCCUGCACUCCACAUUUUGCACAAGUUAUUUGACCACGGCAGCUCUGCGAGCCAUGGCCGAACCUCUGACAUUUGAAACACCUUCUAGGGUUGGGGAUAUAUGGUCGAACAUUUAAUCUGAUGUAUCCUGUUUCGAUAGUUUCUGGCAGUGUGCUGGAUGCAAAUGUUAGGAUAAGAUGCUUUGUGGGGAUUUCCUUGUUGUCUCGUCUAAUUAUAAUACGUUUUACUUCAGUGACAUUUUGUUCUUUCCAUCCUUCCAAGAGUUCAGCUUCUGUCAAGUCUAGGAGGUCUGCCUCUGACACGACUCCCCGUGAGCUGUUCAUUGUUCGGUGUUGUGUAAUAGAUAUUGGUAUGUUACCAAAUGUCACAAGACUGCCAAGCUUUUCGUACAGUUGUUUCUGAGGGAUCUCAAGGAGAAGGUCCCCGCUAGCCAUUUUCGUUACCUUAUAACCUGCCCCUAAGGCUUCGGUCAAAGAUUUUGCUACUGUGAAUGGAGAAAUAAAUCUAGCUUGUUUUUCAGGGCUCUCACUGUGUACUACGUGGUAUUUUGGAUAGGUCUCUUUCGUGCGGUUGAAACAAUUGCUUAAGUCUUCGGUGCGUCCCCUCUUCUGAGGGUGACGAUCAAGUAGGCGGGGAAAUGCGGGUGUUCCCAUAGUAAUUUGAAAUGUUUUCAGCAGCAAUGGCGGCCACCCACCAUGGAGCCCAACUUGGGGACGCUGCAGGACUUAACGGGUAAGGCUACAGGCGCCAGCCGUACACUGCCACUAUAACCUAAUAUAUUAUACCCAAGGGAGGGCACAUACACAAGGUUAACCCUUGCCGCCGUGGAGACAGGAAGUAAAUGGAAGAGAGAAGAAGACAGGAAAGUUGAAAAAGGCGAGAGAGAAAGACGAAGAUUGGAGAGGAGGACAGGAAAAGGCGACUGCCGAUUUCCCCCGGGUGGGUCAGUCCGGGGGUGCCGUCUAUGUGAAGCAGAGGCCAAAGGGGUGUGUUGCCUCCGCCGGGGGGCCGUUAAGGUCCAAACACCCGGCAUUGGCUCAACCCCCAGGAUCCCCUUUUCCCCGGACACGGCUAAGCCGCGCACGGCUACACGCGGGAGGGUCCAACCCUCGUGUGCUCGGGUACGUGGUGUCGCAACGCACCAAACGCCUGCUGACGCAGACGCCCCUGCGGGGGCUCAAACUGAGAGGCAGAGAGAAUGGUUCAGAGAAUCAAGGACGCAUCCCACAAAACAAAGGAUCCUAAUCUGACCCAGCUCAGUUAACGGUAUACACCAGGAGUAAACGGCGUUCUGAUAAGCGUUGUGAUCUCCAUUGCCAUAGAGUUCACUAGCGACAUUAGGAACAUAGCUGAUGACGGCCGUUGACGCCAUCAUAGACCAGCUUUUUUUUUUUUGCGACCGCUGUAACUAUAAGGAAUUUUUUUAGACAUUCCAUAGGCAUCUCACAUAAAAUGCUCCUCAUUCUCUCAAAAUUUCAACUUUGUCACACAAUGAGCUUUUUCAGGACAUUGGGAAAACUUGCGCAGUUCCUAAUUCACUCUUGUAUAAGCAAUAUUAAACAGGGGACGUAGCGGGAGCAGGCUUGUGUUGAAUAGAGAGAGAGAUUGAAAAAAAGGUGACUUCACGUUCCGCUUGCGCGCUCCAUGCAGCGCGCACGCCUGCAUAAUUUAGCUGAGCGGUUCACAGCAGUUUGUGCUACCGCGGACUCUCUCUUCUUUUUUCUUUUGCCAAGCCCGGAAGGUCGUUCAGGAUCCCAUUAACUGUUUUACACUGACAGGAAAAUGUGCUAACUCGUGCUCCGCUCCCGAUUUCUUUCUAGGAAAAGAUGUUGGCAACACUUGUGAAUAGAAGCUCUUGUAUUUAAAAAGUUCUUGUGAUUUGCAGUCAUGGGCAGCGGCGUCCUCCGGCUGCAACUGAGCCGUUGGGAAGACGACGGCCAAGGAGACCAUCUCCAGCCCUUCGGAACAGAAGUGGCCGUCGUCUACCGUGAGAUCGAACACACGAUGGCUCUCAAGAUUGUUGCCUUAAUUCUCAAUUUUGCAUUUUAGCAAUAAAUUUGACAUCUGCAUGAA